ACGCUGGCGGCGUGCCUAAUACAUGCAAGUAGAACGCUGAAGGAGAAGCUUGCUUCUCUGGAUGAGUUGCGAACGGGUGAGUAACGCGUAGGUAACCUGCCUGGUAGCGGGGGAUAACUAUUGGAAACGAUAGCUAAUACCGCAUAAUAGUAGAUGUUGCAUGACAUUUGCUUAAAAGGUGCAAUUGCAUCACUACCAGAUGGACCUGCGUUGUAUUAGCUAGUUGGUGGGGUAACGGCUCACCAAGGCGACGAUACAUAGCCGACCUGAGAGGGUGAUCGGCCACACUGGGACUGAGAUACGGCCCAGACUCCUACGGGAGGCAGCAGUAGGGAAUCUUCGGCAAUGGACGGAAGUCUGACCGAGCAACGCCGCGUGAGUGAAGAAGGUUUUCGGAUCGUAAAGCUCUGUUGUAAGAGAAGAACGAGUGUGAGAGUGGAAAGUUCACACUGUGACGGUAUCUUACCAGAAAGGGACGGCUAACUACGUGCCAGCAGCCGCGGUAAUACGUAGGUCCCGAGCGUUGUCCGGAUUUAUUGGGCGUAAAGCGAGCGCAGGCGGUUAGAUAAGUCUGAAGUUAAAGGCUGUGGCUUAACCAUAGUACGCUUUGGAAACUGUUUAACUUGAGUGCAAGAGGGGAGAGUGGAAUUCCAUGUGUAGCGGUGAAAUGCGUAGAUAUAUGGAGGAACACCGGUGGCGAAAGCGGCUCUCUGGCUUGUAACUGACGCUGAGGCUCGAAAGCGUGGGGAGCAAACAGGAUUAGAUACCCUGGUAGUCCACGCCGUAAACGAUGAGUGCUAGGUGUUAGACCCUUUCCGGGGUUUAGUGCCGUAGCUAACGCAUUAAGCACUCCGCCUGGGGAGUACGACCGCAAGGUUGAAACUCAAAGGAAUUGACGGGGGCCCGCACA
rnacentral:rRNA from 1 species